CGUGUACCGGUACACUUUGGCAGAAUCUGAGCAGUUUGAACUGCAGGGGUUUUUUCGCAAUUGUGGCGUCUCUAUUAGUACCCCCACGCCCUAGGGGUCUUCCCUGAGCUUGACACCAGCAAGGAGAAGGGUAAGGGAGCCCUCCACACUCUUCCAUUCCCUUUACUUGUUUUUGCUUGGAUUUUUAUGGGAUUAAGCUCUCUUUUGCUUGAUUAGAGACUUCCUCACCUCGAUUGAAGCUUGGAGCUUGGCUUUGGAGCCUUGUUGGGGGGAGACCCUUGGACUUGGAGAGUUUAGAGCUUAGAUUGAAGCUUCUAAGAGGUAAUCUACUUGCUCUCUCCCUCUAGAUAUGAAUUUUAUUGUUGGAUUCAAGAUCAAACCCUAGAAAUGGAAAUUUAGGGUUUAUUUGGGCAUUUUGCAUUUAGGGCUUUUGGAGCUAAAUUAGUUGGUUUAAAACCUUCCUAAGGCUUGGAUUAGAAGGAUUCUAGCCCUCAUUUGGAGCUUAAGAGAGGAUUUUUACUCUUGAGAUGAGUUUUGGCCCUUUUUGCUCCUAGGUUAAUGUUUGAUAUUAUAUGAUGAUCGUAAUGCCCGUGUAUCUUUUCGCUCAAUCCUUUUAGAGUAUUUUGAGACUCGGGGACAACUCUGUUCGGCAAAACGAGGCCCUACGCGACGGUUCGGUGGGUUUGACCUAGCCCUUAUAUGAGAAAUUCUCAUAUAUUGUGAAAUAUGUUCCGUAAAUUGGAAAAGCAAGCAUAUUCAUAUUAAAUGUAUUUAUUAUGAUUUUUAGAAUGCUUAAUAUACAUAUGUUAUGUAUAGUAAAUUUUUGGACCCCUAUGUGGUAGGGUACAUGCUUGUGGGAUAUAGCAUUCUAGUUGAGACUUGGAACCAUGAUUCCUAUUAUGAAAAUUGAACAUUGUUUCUAUGCAUUCCACCCUUAUGCCUAAUCGUGAUGUUAGGGACUUUGGAUGCCUAGAGAGGCUUGGGGACUUAGUUUAUUUGGAAUUUUGGGUCAAUGUCAUAAAGAGGCAUUGGGCCCCGAGUUAUAGUAAACAUCGGUAUUAAUGUCAUAUUUGGGACAUAGAACAUGAUUUGAGCUUGGUUAGUUGUGGUGCUUAAGUGUCAUAAAGAGGCACUAAGCAAGUGAGUAUUGAGAUAUCACCUUGUGACUUUGAGCUAGACCGUUGGGUUACUAGUAGCUAUUGCCAUGUUAGAGACAUGAGGAUUGGAUACUCGAGACUUGGACUAUGCUUGUUUGCCAUUUGUGCUCAUUCGCACAUGCUUGUGAGGGUCGCUCCCUACAAGCCGGCACUCCGGAGUUAGCCUACGCGACUUUUGAUCGCUCGUGCGGUAUUGAGAAGCCUACGGGGUCGAGUGGGACAGACACAUUCCAAGAGUAGGGAUGUUGGGCUACCACAGGCACUUAGGCGGCACAAGCUGGACUACCUUUGGUAGGUCCUCUGUUGGAAAUGGAAAUCGACACGGUGUUGAGUUUAUUAUGAUCACUACUAGACAGAGAGUAGUAGUUGGAUUACUUGGACUNNNN
rnacentral:lncRNA from 1 species